CCGACGGUGAGAGGCGAAAGCUGGGGGAGCAAACCGGAUUAGAUACCCGGGUAGUCCCAGCUGUAAACGAUGCGCGUUAGGUGUGUCAGUGACCACGUGUCACUGAUGUGCCGAAGGGAAACCGUGAAACGCGCCGCCUGGGGAGUACGGUCGCAAGGCUGGAACUUAAAGGAAUUGGCGGGGGAGCACCACAACGGGUGGAGCCUGCGGUUUAAUCGGACUCAACGCCGGAAAUCUCACCGGAUAA
rnacentral:rRNA from 1 species